AGCCCCGAGGUGUUUUACAUAUCGAAUUGCAAAUCCGAAGAGGCCGGGUAAUUCCGGCCGGGGCUUU
rnacentral:tRNA from 1 species